ACGAACGCUGGCGGCGUGCUUAACACAUGCAAGUCGAGCGGUAAGGCCCUUUCGGGGGUACACGAGCGGCGAACGGGUGAGUAACACGUGGGUGACCUGCCCUUAGCUCUGGGAUAAGCCUGGGAAACUGGGUCUAAUACCGGAUAUGACUCCAUGACGCAUGUUGUGGGGUGGAAAGCCUUGUGCGGCUAGGGAUGGGCCUGCGGCCUAUCAGCUUGUUGGUGGGGUGAUGGCCACCAAGGCGACGACGGGUAGCCGGCCUGAGAGGGCGACCGGCCACACUGGGACUGAGACACGGCCCAGACUCCUACGGGAGGCAGCAGUGGGGAAUCCUGCGCAAUGGGCGAAAGCCUGACGCAGCGACGCCGCGUGGGGA
rnacentral:rRNA from 1 species